GUGUCAGCAGCCGCGGUAAUACAGAGGGUGCAAGCGUUAAUCGGAUUUACUGGGCGUAAAGCGCGCGUAGGCGGCUAAUUAAGUCAAAUGUGAAAUCCCCGAGCUUAACUUGGGAAUUGCAUUCGAUACUGGUUAGCUAGAGUGUGGGAGAGGAUGGUAGAAUUCCAGGUGUAGCGGUGAAAUGCGUAGAGAUCUGGAGGAAUACCGAUGGCGAAGGCAGCCAUCUGGCCUAACACUGACGCUGAGGUGCGAAAGCAUGGGGAGCAAACAGGAUUAGAAACCCCCGUAGUCC
rnacentral:rRNA from 1 species